UCUGCCCCGAGAGGCUUUUCAGGUGUGGCUUCUGUGUCACAUGUGAAUCAGUAUGUAGCAGAGAGGAGAGAGGCUAUAUGUAUGCUCAGUAUUCUGACCUGUGAAUAUCUGAAUGACUAGUAGCCUAACAAU